CCUGGAUUUUUCCGGGUUUGUUCAACAGAGCAGAACUUCUGGCUACCACAUAGGCCACACGUUGAUUAUAUCUCUGUCUUUCACUUAUUUUCAAUAUGAAAACUUUGGCUUUGAUUCUGGGAGUGCUUGCUUUGAUGGGCAUACAGGUUUUUGGAGAAGAUUCUGUCUCUACAUCUGCCAUGCCAACGGUAUGCUGCACUCCCAAGACAUCACUAGCUCAAAGUAUCAUGACAACGGGAGCUACGACUCAUAUGACAACAGGAGGCCCAACUACCAAUAAACCAGCAGCUCCAACUACAAAGAAAAUAGAGACUUCAAAUACCAUGACAACAACAGCUCCAACUACCAUGAUAACGGUAGGUUCAACUACCAUGGCAACAGUAGCUCCAACUACCAAAACAACAGCAACUCCAACUACCAUGACACCAACAGCUCCAACUACCAUGAUAACAACAGCUCCAGCUACCGUGAUAACGGGGGGUCCAACAACCAUGACAACAGUAGCUCCAACUACCAAAACAACAGCAGCUCCGACUACCAUAACAACAGCAGCUCCAACUACCAAAACAACAGCAGCUCCAACUACCAAAACAACAGCAGCUCCAACCAACAAAACAACAGCAGCUCCAACUACCAAUACAACAGCAGCUCCAACUAACAAAACAACAGCAGCUCCAACUACUGUGACAACGAGACAUCCAACGACCAGCAGAGGCACAGCGGUCAAAGCGUCUCUGUUGGGCUCUGUGGCGCCACUGCUCUUCUGCACACUAUGCCGCUGAGGGAAAUAGCGCCCCCCUCUGGUGAUCAUGAAAUACAUUGGUGAAAUUCGUGAAGUAAUAAUGCUGGCGCUUCAGAAAACAAUGUUGUUUUGAAAUCACAAUGUUCCCCUUUAAUACAUGAUUCCUUGAAGUAAACAGAGUGAUUAGUUAUUAGAUGUAUUUCAAAGAUUUAUCAUGAUUAUUAUUCUUAUUAGUUAUUUUGCACACCUGGACUCAUCACUAUUAAUUUUCAACAAAUGAUGGCAUAUUACACAUGUUUGAGUUGAGUGGUAACUUUCUCUAUUAAAAGGAUUGAAUACCUGGUGGCAGGUGCAGGCUGUGAUAGUCAUGGUAGCAAUACUAAUGCCUACAAAUUAUCUUUAUUUAUCUUACAUGUAGAUCAUGCAUUAAGAUAAUUGUUAUGAUCCAACAAUUUCAUUGCAUCACAAGGCAUCUGGAUGGGAAAUGAGAUAACAAUAAAAGUGCAUUUGUAGCAAUUAUUCAGAAACACAUUCAGCGAUCACAGAGUAUUGUUAUUUGUGAUAAGAAUUAUAAUCAAGUGAAUGGCAAAUAUUAAGUAGCCAAUGAGCCAUAAAAAUCUUUACUAUCUAACAACUAGUCCAAAAUGAUUGCUGACCAAUGCACUCAAAAUUAAAUAAAUUAAUAUAUUGUGAAAUUACAAAUGUAUAAAUAUAAUAAAUAAGUAUUGUUCACUAUAUUUCAUAAGCAUAUCAUAUUUAAUUUAAUAAUCUUGUAAUGGGCUGUGAGGUUGGACCAAAGAACAGCACAGACCGAGACCAGCGUUGGAACAAUACAUUUUUCCAAAAUGGUCUAUUUCAUAAAGCUUGAUUUUAUACUGUGAAAUGUGCACAGCACCAAACCAUUAAAAAACGAAAAAAUAAUCUCAAGUACCCUGACCUUUGAGGUUAUUCAUUGAUAGUUAAUAGUUUGUUUGAAUCAAGACCAAAAAAGCACUCAAACCCUUCUGCUUAUCAAAUGUCAAAAAAAAUAAGGAAAAAGGUUGAGAUUUCAGUGGGCGUGGCUCAGAGACUAAGAACCUUAAGGCUGUGUAAAUGAAUAAAGAUUACAUCAAAUCAA